rnacentral:rRNA from 1 species
AUUCCAGCUCCAAUAGCGUAUAUUAAAGUUGUUGCAGUUAAAAAGCUCGUAGUUGGAUUUCUGGGAGGGUGGCGAUGUCCGCUUAACGUGUGUGCAGCGGCGCCCUUCCAUCCUUCUGUUAGCGUCUCUUGGCAUUCAUUUGCUGGUGGCGGGCUCAGAUAUUUUACCUUGAGAAAAUUAGAGUGUUUCAGGCAGGCUAGGCCGGAAUACAUUAGCAUGGAAUAAUGGAAUAGGACUACGGUCUCUUUGUUGGUUUGAGGGACUGGAGUAAUGAUUAAUAGGGAUAGUUGGGGGCAUUAGUAUUUAAUUGUCAGAGGUGGAAUUCUCGGAUUUGUUAAAGACUAACUUAUGCGAAAGCAUUUGCCAAGGAUGUUUUCAUCG